CAGUCAGACGCAGCAAAGCUCACCGUCUGUAUGAGCGUGAGCGUCGGAAAGCUGAUAAAAUCGGCUGUAAAAUAAUUAAAACAAAAGUAAAAAUGCUCCUUUGCUUUUUAGAGUCCACAUCCAGAAGGCUGGAGCCGUGUUUCACUGACAGGCUGUCAGACUAACGCCCUGAUGAGCUCAGCUGGGACAAACUGGUCUGAUGUUUAGGAACACAGAACGUUCAGAUGUUGGAGCUUCACGUCACCUACUGAGGAAGGAGACCCACCAGUAAAGAGACGGUCUGGACCAGACCAAAAAUAUGGCGUUGACAUCAUGGAACUGGUCUUUGGAAAAGUUUUCCCUGAACCAACUCCGUUUCUAGAUGAGGUAGAGAAGAUCUGCAUCUCACCAACCCUCUGGUCUCAGUAUUCAGACAACCUCUGGUCUCAGUAUUCAGACAACGGAGGUCUCCCACUGUUAUCCAGGACCAGUUUGAAGCCCACAUACUGCCCCUCCCUCAUCAUCAGGAAACAUCAAUCCGUAUCCUGAGGACAACAGAAGACGGCAGGAGGACAGGAACUCUGAGACCUAGAUACCACCAGCACCGAGACACAAAGCACCUGUGUGCACAGCGCCUGUUUAACUACUAAAGCCUGUUUAUUAUAUUGUUCUACUUAUUUGCUGUGAGGUUAAUACUUAGAAAAUUUGUAUAUUAAUGUAAACAAUAAAAAAAAUCACUGAUUGUAUAUUUUCUUUUAGAUGUAAUGGUCCAAACUCAGCCUUGUAGACAUUUAUUGCAUCCUGUAGGUAAAUACACAGAACAGGCUCAGGUCCAGGAUGACCCAGCAGGCUCUUCUUCCAUUCUGGCUGUUAGGGAUUGUAUCAAUAACUCAAUGCCUACUGAUGUUUUCACCUAACGGUAUUUAUUUAGAAUGCAGGUAAGAUUUAACUAUAAUUGUUAGCAAAGCAGACUGAUCUUGGGAAUUUCACUGCAGCACUGAUGUCCACCUCUGUGUACACAUCAGAGAGAAUUACCACUUUACAGCUAAACACAUAUUUAAUAAAGAUAUAGGCUACGCAUUGCAGACAAUAAAAACAAAGCUGUAAGCAUUAGAAUUAUAAUGAUCACAUUAAAGAACAUUUGGAGGAAU